UGUGGGGUAGCUCAGUGGUUAAGACGUUGGACUAUGGAUUGGAAGGUUGAGAGUUUAAAUCCCAGCACCACCA